rnacentral:pre_miRNA from 1 species
AGUGAAAUUGCUGGGUCAUAUGGUAAGUGUACGUUUAACUUAAGAAACUGACAAGCUGCUUUCCAAAGUGCCUGUAUUAUUUUACAUUCCCAUCAGCGGU